rnacentral:rRNA from 1 species
UACAGAGGGUGCGAGCGUUAAUCGGAAUUACUGGGCGUAAAGCGUGCGUAGACGGUUAUUUAAGUCGGGUGUGAAAGCCCCGGGCUCAACCUGGGAAUUGCAUUCGAGACUGAAUAGCUAGGGUGCGGUAGAGGGAAGCGGAAUUUCCGGUGUAGCGGUGAAAUGCGUAGAUAUCGGAAGGAACAUCAGUGGCGAAAGCGGCUUCCUGGACCAGCACCGACGUUCAGGCACGAAAGCGUGGGGAGCGAACAGGA